AACAAAGGCAAACCUGCUGAAAAGCAGGGACGCAAAGCCAAGGGUCUAAGGUCUGAAGACUAUGACAGCCGGUUGCCAC
rnacentral:ncRNA from 1 species